GAAAAUAGUACUAUUUGUUUUGCCAUGUUUUUUUCAACUUUACCGGUCGUUUGAUUCCUCUCGAAACUUCAAAGAAUUUAAGUCUCGUGUUCAUCAUGAUGAACACGCAACUUUGUCCCGCCGAAGCUACUGGACAAGAGGACAGGCUGAUUUAAAGGACAACUCAACUACACUUGCUCCCGUACAUCUGCAAAGACUGCAAAGAAAUCAGCUUCAUUAACUCUUGUAACAGCAUCGUUGUUGGUUUAACGGUUAGAAGGAUAUCUGCGCUGGAUCCAGAUGUGGAUGAUUCAAAUUCGGAUUCAAAUUUGUAUUUUGUUAUGAUUAAGUAUCUUAAUUAUGACGAUUUGAGUUCUUAAUGAA
rnacentral:lncRNA from 1 species